rnacentral:rRNA from 1 species
UUUCAACAAUGAAGCGAGUGGCGAACUGGUGAGUAACACGUGGGAAAUCUGCCCAGAAGCAGGGGAUAACACUUGGAAACAGGUGCUAAUACCGUAUAACAACAAAAUCCGCAUGGUCCGAGUUUGAAAGAUGGCUUCGGCUAUCACUUCUGGAUGGUCCCGCGGCGUAUUAGCUAGAUGGUGAGGUAAAGGCUCACCAAGGCAGUGAUACGUAGCCGACCUGAGAGGGUAAUCGGCCACAUUGGGACUGAGACACGGCCCAGACUCC